AGAGUGCCCCGGCGUCUUUCUAGCCUCCGCCUCCAGGCGGGUGAGGAGGUGACACCUGAGAAUUCCUCCCUCUCACCCCUGACCCUGCCGGAAAGCGAAACUGAGAUGCGGGCAUUGGGCCCUGGGAAGCGUGGGGAAGGGGAAAGGAGAAAGCCAGGUGGGUUUUUAGGUCCCUUCCAGUGCCACACUGCGGGGCGUUGAGGGGCCGCUCGAGGCAGGCCCUUCCAUGAGGCCUGGACUGGAGGCCUUCUCUAGCCGCCGGCGCUGGCCUGGGCCGCCUGCCGCCACGCAGGGGCCGCGCGCCUGGGCCCCAGGGCCCCUUUGCCGGCGGGAGGCCGGGGGGACCGACUGCUCUUGGCGCCCGGGGUCGGGGGAGGCCGGGAAACCUCGGCUCCCGGGCGACAGGCACCCAGGCCCUUCUCAGCCCCCCGGCCGCGGCCGCGCCGGGCCUCGCUUCAGCCGGGCGAUUCUUCCCCUCAUUUGUUGCAUUGUUUGCAUUAAUAUGAAUAUCUUGUUCUGUUUGUUUUGUCUCCUGAGAGCCAAUAAAGCUGUGAGUUUUUUCAUUACACCAAAUGCAGCUCUACGGGCGAUCAAUCAAUGGGUAGUCUUCGGAUAAUCUGUGAGAGUGAGAAAUCUAAUAAAGCUAGCGACUAAAAAAGGAAAACAAAAUCUAUUUUUCUCUUAGGUUAACUACGUCAGGAUUAAUGUGUUCCACUUCUGCUGCCUGAGGUGGGUUUAACUCUUGUUCUUUCCCCCCCACCCACCCCAACAAAUUGAUUUAAAUGUCAAGAUGGGAGGGGAAGAGGGCUGAGGAAAGAAAGAGAAAAGAAAAGGGAUGUUUAGGAGCUUCUUAAAUUUUCUGAUGGUUGGCCGAUUCUUUCAAGAAGAGGAAAGACAAUACUUUCUAACGUCCCAGAAAAUCAGAGAAAUGGAGGAUUCUAACAAAAUGUAGUUUGGCAAAGAGGCCCUUCCUCAGUUUUCCGAACAGACAGGAAAUGUAAAUUGAUAAUGACGUAAAUAAGUGAUGAUAAUAAAUCAAGUUAUUAUUAGUGCCCCCUGCCCCAUCACUUGUUUGCUUUUGCUAGAUGCUAAACUUAACUCCUCAAAUGCAUUUUUUGGAAGGCCCCUCAACCAUCCUGAGCAAUGCAGGAAAUAAGAGAAAGAUCAUCUGCCUGGGCUGCUGCAGUUCUCCUCACAGCACAAUGCAACCAAAAUCAUUUAUAAACAGACAAAAAUAACAAUCUGAAUUAUCUAACAUUAGCAGUUGAACUGAAGAGCCCAAGAUUAUGUGAUGAAUUGUUAAAUUGCAGUAGCAUUGUUUUGGAUUGCUAAUUAAAAAAAAUAAGCAAACCCCAUGACUCUAGAUAUGACAACUGAAAAUACCCACAAAUUAUUUAAUAAAUGAAGUGUCUAACAACUUUAACACUUCCUGGUCGCCCUGUUAAUAAAUGUAAUUUGAGGUAGAUUUUUAAAAUCUUCAAUCUAAACAGUGAAUUCAUUACGCGCCAUUCAGAUCUCUAGAUGCCUAUGGACUUCUUGGAAUUAGGUGUUAAAUAGACAAAAGUGAACCAAACUGCCUUUAAAAGCACAGCAUGACCAUGUAAUUCUUUUUCCAGUUUGUGGUAAAAAAUGAUGAAACUUCUUUCCAAGUAGCUAUCACCCAGAUUUAGUGUGAAAAGUAGUGUAAUUGUAAUUCACGCCAUCAGGGUCUAUCGCUGAUAGACGAUCAGCUGUUCUGUAGAGGGGAGAGGCUUUCUUUUCAAAUAGGAAAGCUGCCAAGUGCUCUGCGAUACCUCCAGCAAGCUUAUCGGAUUGAGUUCAGAGCCAAAACAGCAGCUGCACACAUAUGCAAAUUGGCAAUUAAUAGUAUAACAUUCUG
rnacentral:lncRNA from 1 species